rnacentral:siRNA from 1 species
AACCGGAACAACCUGGCCAACUGC